rnacentral:rRNA from 1 species
UACGGAGGGUGCAAGCGUUAUCCGGAUUCACUGGGUUUAAAGGGUGCGUAGGCGGGCAGGUAAGUCAGUGGUGAAAUCUCCGAGCUUAACUCGGAAACUGCCAUUGAUACUAUUUGUCUUGAAUAUUGUGGAGGUAAGCGGAAUAUGUCAUGUAGCGGUGAAAUGCUUAGAUAUGACAUAGAACACCAAUUGCGAAGGCAGCUUACUACACAAUGAUUGACGCUGAGGCACGAAAGCGUGGGGAGCGAACAGG